UUAUGGACUCUUAAAAUGCUUCAACUGGAAAACUAUGAAACAGCUGUAUGACAUCUUGCAAUCCUGUAAAAACACUUCACCGUUCAUGAAUUUUCUAGCUAAUGUGGCAUCAGUAACAGAAGAAAAUUAUGCUCUUUCAAACCCUGGCUCAGGCUUCCUCCUCCCCUUCAAGGAGAGGAGGGGUCCUGAUGGAUGACGCUCUCCAGGAGCUCCACGUGACGUCCGGUGACAGCACAGUCUGAAGA